CGGCAGCUGGCGCAAGCGGGUUCGGCGCGCAGGGUUUCCACCGCCGCGGCCAGGCCCAGCGGAUCCUGCAGGCGCUCCUGCUGG
rnacentral:tRNA from 1 species